rnacentral:rRNA from 1 species
AUGGAUUCAUUGCUGCAUGCUCCUCCUCCUUCUUUCAUCUGCUCUGCUGUGACCCGUCACCGUGAGCGGAUCCAAUCCUCCAUACCCCCCAGAAGUCAGCCUCCAGCCAUGGCGGAUCUGCAGACGCCGCUGGUGCGACCAAAGAGGAAGAAGGUGCUGGUGGACUACCUGGUGCAGUUCCGAUGGAUCCUCGUCAUCUUCGUGGUGCUUCCGGCCUCGGCGCUCAUCUACUUCAACAUCUACCUGGGCGACAUGUGGUCCGCCAUGAAGUCGGAGAAGAAGCGGCAGAAGGAGCACGAGGACAACGUGCAGAAGGUCGUGAAGCGGCUCAAGCAGCGCAACCCCAAGAAGGACGGCCUCGUCUGCACGGCCAGGAAGCCGUGGAUCGCCGUCGGCAUGCGCAACGUCGACUACAAGCGUGUCAGGCACUUCGAGGUCGACCUCUCUGCCUUCAGGAACAUCCUUGAGAUCGACCCCGAGAGGAUGGUCGCCAAGGUCGAGCCGCUCGUCAACAUGGGCCAGAUAUCCAGGGCCACCUGCCCCAUGAACCUCUCCCUCGCUGUGGUGGCGGAGCUCGAUGACCUCACCGUCGGCGGCCUCAUCAACGGCUACGGCAUCGAGGGGAGCUCUCACAUCUACGGGCUCUUCUCCGACACGGUGGUCGCGCUGGAGAUCGUCCUGGCUGACGGCCGGGUCGUCCGAGCCACCAAGGACAACGAGUACUCCGACCUCUUCUACGGCGUGCCCUGGUCGCAGGGCACUCUCGGGUUCCUUGUUUCAGCUGAGAUCAAGCUCAUCCCCAUCAAGGAGUACAUGAGGCUCACCUACACCCCGGUGAAGGGCCCCCUGAAGGAGGUGGCGCAGGCGUACGCCGACGCCGUCGCGCCGAGGGACGGCGACCCCGCAAAGGUCCCCGACUUCGUGGAAGGGAUGGUGUACUCCGCGACGGAGGGCGUGAUGAUGACCGGCGUGUACGCGUCCAAGGAGGAGGCCAAGAAGAAGGGCAACAAGAUCAACAGCGUGGGGUGGUGGUUCAAGCCAUGGUUCUACCAGCACGCGCAGACGGCGCUGAAGAAGGGCGAGUUCGUGGAGUACAUCCCGACGAGGGAGUACUACCACAGGCACACCCGGUGCCUGUACUGGGAGGGGAAGCUCAUCCUGCCCUUCGGCGACCAGUUCUGGUUCAGGUUCCUCUUCGGCUGGCUGAUGCCGCCCAAGGUGUCCCUGCUCAAGGCCACCCAGGGCGAUGCCAUCAGGAACUACUACCAUGACAACCAUGUGAUCCAGGACAUGCUGGUGCCCCUGUACAAGGUUGGAGACGCCCUCGAGUUCGUCCACCACGAAAUGGAGGUGUACCCGUUGUGGCUGUGCCCUCACCGGCUGUUCAAGCUGCCGGUGAAGACGAUGAUCUACCCGGAGCCGGGGUUCGAGCACCAGCAGCGGCAGGGGGACACGAGCUACGCGCAGAUGUUCACGGACGUGGGGGUGUACUACACGCCGGCGUGCAUCUUCCGCGGGGAGGAGUUCGACGGGGCGGAGUCGGUGAAGCGGCUGGAGCAGUGGCUGAUCGAGAACCACAGCUACCAGCCGCAGUACGCGGUGACGGAGCUGAACGAGAAGGACUUCUGGCGCAUGUUCGACGCGUCGCACUACGAGCACUGCCGGCACAAGUACGGCGCCGUGGGCACCUUCAUGAGCGUCUACUACAAGAGCAAGAAGGGGCGCAAGUCCGAGAAGGAGGUGCAGGAGGCCGAGGCCGCCAUCCUGGAGCCCGCCUACGCCGACGAGGCCUAG